rnacentral:rRNA from 1 species
UACGUAGUUAGCCGGGGCUUCUUAGUCAGGUACCGUCAUCUUCUUCCCUGCUGAUAGAGCUUUACAUACCGAAAUACUUCUUCACUCACGCGGCGUCGCUGCAUCAGGGUUUCCCCCAUUGUGCAAUAUUCCCCACUGCUGCCUCCCGUAGGAGUUUGGGCCGUGUCUCAGUCCCAAUGUGGCCGGUCACUCUCUCAAGCCGGCUACUGAUCGCUGCCUUGGUAGGCCGUUACCCUGCCAACUAGCUAAUCAGACGCGGGCCCAUCCUGUACCACCGGAGUUUUUCACACCGUGCCAUGCGGCACUGUGCGCUUAUGCGGUAUUAGCACCCAUUUCUGGGUGUUAUCCCCCGGUACAGGGCAGGUUGCCCACGCGUUACUCACCCGUCCGCCACUCAGUCAUACCCCUCUUCCGCCCGGAGGCUUCCGUGGUGUAUGCUUCGUUCGACUUGCAUGUGUUAGGCACGCCGCCAGCGUUCAUCCUGAGCCAGGAUCAAACUCU